AACGUGCGCUGGCGGCAGGCUUAACACAUGCAAGUCGAACGAGAUCUUCGGAUCUAGUGGCAGACGGGUGAGGAACACGUGGGAACAUCCCUUUCAGUUCGGAAUAACGUUGGGAAACUAACGCUAAUACCGGAUACGUCCUUCGGGAGAAAGAUUUAUCGCUGAAAGAUUGGCCCGCGUCUGAUUAGCUAGUUGGUGAGGUAACGGCUCACCAAGGCUACGAUCAGUAGCUGAUCUGAGAGGAUGAUCAGCCACAUUGGGACUGAGACACGGCCCAAACUCCUACGGGAGGCAGCAGUGGGGAAUAUUGGACAAUGGGCGCAAGCCUGAUCCAGCCAUGCCGCGUGAGUGAUGACGGCCUUCGGGUUGUAAAGCUCUUUUGUCCGGGAAGAUAAUGACUGUACCGGAAGAAUAAGCCCCGGCAAACUUCGUGCCAGCCGCCGCCGUAA
rnacentral:rRNA from 1 species